UACAGGGGGGGCAAGCGUUGUUCGGAAUUACUGGGCGUAAAGGGUCUGUAGGUGGCUUGCUAAGUCAGACGUGAAAUCCCUCAGCUUAACUGGGGAACUGCGUCUGAUACUGGAUGGCUUGAGUGUGGGAGAGGAAUGCGGAAUUCCAGGUGUAGCGGUGAAAUGCGUAGAUAUCUGGAGGAACACCGGUGGCGAAGGCGGCAUUCUGGACCAUAACUGACACUGAGAGACGAAAGCCAGGGGAGCAAACGGG
rnacentral:rRNA from 1 species